GGUUUUAGGCUCUGAUGUUUGCUCCUUCUGGUCUGUUGUUUGCUCAGGUCACUAGAUGUGCACUGGGAUUAAUUGUGUCCGCAAUCACACACCCAUCGCCCCAACGACGUUUCUGAAGAAUCUCUUUCCCCACGGCGUUUGAACGUCAUGAAAACCUGACUUUAUUUGCGAGCCUCUGUCCCGUUCUGUCCUGUUGACCCACCUUCUCCCGACGUGCAUGGCCGCGUUCCCGUUGACAGCAGCUAAAACUACAGUUUCGGAUGUCAUGGCGUGGAUUUCUCCUCAAACGUCCUUUCCAAACUUCCUGAUUUUUACCACAGAUUGGCUCUUUCAGACUAACCUUAAAAUCAUCUUAGACACUAAAGAUUACAUUCUUUAUCAAAUAGUGGUCUGUUUCCAAUCAUAAUGACACUACUGAAUGAUCUUCUUAUUACUGAAAAUAAAGCUGAGUUCCACGUUUCCAGGGGAAAAUCAGCCACAGCCUGGUGUGGAUCGGCGCUGCAGACCUCCUCGGAGAAACCUGACAGGCCGACUUGCGGAGCUGUGCCCCCCCCAAUAUUCCUAGGUGGAGCCCUAACCCCACUGCGACGGUGUUUGGAGACACAGAAAGAAGAUAAGGGGCCCUCACCAGGAACCGGACCGGUCAGCACCUUGGUCUUGGACUUCCAGACUCCAGAACUACGAGACAUAAACGUUUGCUGUUUGAGACCCACGAUCUGUAGUGUCUUGUUACGGCAGCCCAGGGACAAGAUCACCUACACAAACUCUACAUACGCUCACCGAGGUGUCCCCUGAGUCUGUCCCUUGAUGACUCUCUCCCACCACGCCCAGAGCUUUCCUCCUUGGGUGAGGUUCCUAUGAGAACAGGAGGUACUUUCUGACAAUAACUCCUGGUUGGUUUGUUUUUAUUUCUUCAAGUCUGUGCUAUAAGCAUGGAAACACUUAGCAAGAUUGGCUGGAUUGCCCGUUCUGGGGAAGGAAUCAAGACUCUUAGAAGGGACAUUAUAUUUCAAAGUGACCAUCAUGGGAAACCAUGGAACAUGGCUUCCUAAGCAGUAAGACCCUCCUGAAACCCCUCAAAACUCUGGGCACCAGCCUCCGGGAAGCAGUCAUAUUGAUGUUAGUUGGUACGCACAAGGACUCGCGGAUUAUGUAUGAGUAAAUGUAUGUACACGUGUAUUUGUGUAUGUGUGCACGCACACUGCCCGCGUGCACACAUACGUCUGUACAUGUGCAUGUACAUGCAUGUAUUACACUCUCAUCACAAAGGCUCCAGCAUUAACCCUAAACACCUCGGGGGGAAUUUGGGACCAGACUCCAAGGAACUUUUGCCUCUCAAACCUUCUCUCUCAUUGUGAGUUCAAAGGGAUUGUCACCUGGGAAGCAAUUUUGGAAACCUGGUCUCUUCACAUCUAGUAGUGUGCUCGUAAAGGCCAUUGGUUUUCUGCUGGGAAAAUGGGUGUCUGUGUUUAUAAAUAUACACAUCUGCACACGUGUGUGUGUGUGUAUAUAUAUAUGCACAUAUACGCACACACAUACAGAAGUUUAUUCUGAACUGGAUUGAUAUAAAUGACAUGCAAUACACUAUUUAUAAGAAUAAAAUACACAAUAUGUUUUAUAAAUUCCAUACAGUCUAUUGAUUUUCAUAGGAAGGUUUCACUGAUGUUUAACUCUUACAUCCCCAAUCAGUCUCUGAGAGCAGUUCAAUAACGAUCCCACAAAUGGACUUUCAUCCCUGUCACCAACCCUUUCCUCCCCAAAUGUAUGGUCGUCCCAUCAGAUAUGUGACCCACUGCUAAACCGCCCCUCACCCCACACAGAUUACAUCCGUGACACUGACACCCGCUCCAGUCCCCACGCUAACUUCAAGUCUGAUCUGCAUUGUUAAAACUUUUCUCACUGAUACACAGAGAAACCUUGGGUGGCAGGUAACUUGCUCUGUGAGGGUUCCGCCAGACGAGCCAACAUUUCCAAUAAAUUUUAACUUGACGAAUGA